UGAUCUAAGCAGCAUGAUUAAUAAUCAAGCCUUGAAAAGCUUCCCAUGUGACUGAAAAUCUUCCAAAUAUAGUGAAAGAACUGACCCAGAUUUGAACAUCUCAAUAGAUAUAAUACCCCCUAGGAACAGAGUUUGGUACUAACUGUUCAAACCAUACUGCACAUUAGAUUCAAUCUGCAGAAUCCAAAUUCAACACUGUGAAGGCUUUAUCCUGAAGCAACACUGAGGACCUUCCAUUUCUAUCACACCUAAGCUACUACUCAAGGCCUACAUAGUAAGGACAGAAGCCAUGCCCACUGACCCUCCAUAAAUAUUCCUAUGAGCUAGGCAAAGGAAGCACUGUCAUUUCAGUCUCGACAGGAAGAGGGUGAGAGGCCAAUAAGUAGAUAGAUUAGAAAACAACUCAGGAUAAUCAGGAAAUUCACUUGACCCCUUGAGUUGAUGGCUGUGAUAGCACUGGGAGUGGUGGGGGUGGCGGAGGUAAGGGCAACGGAGAGGGUGACAGGGACAAUGGUGGUAGAGGUC
rnacentral:lncRNA from 1 species